UGCUGGAGGUAUCAGAAGUGCGAAUGCUGACAUGAGUAACGACAAGGGGGGUGAAAAACCUCCCCGCCGGAAGACCAAGGGUUCCUGUCCAACGUUAAUCGGGGCAGGGUGAGUCGACCCCUAAGGCGAGGCUGAAAAGCGUAGUCGAUGGGAAACGGGUUAAUAUUCCCGUACUUCUUACAAUUGCGAUGGGGGGACGGAGAAGGCUAGGUGGGCCAGGCGACGGUUGUCCUGGUUCAAGUGCGUAGGCUUAAGAGUUAGGUAAAUCCGGCUCUUUCUAAGGCUGAGACACGACGUCGAGCUACUACGGUAGUGAAGUCAUUGAUGCCAUGCUUCCAGGAAAAGCCUCUAAGCUUCAGAUUGUAAGGAAUCGUACCCCAAACCGACACAGGUGGUCGGGUAGAGAAUACCAAGGCGCUUGAGAGAACUCGGGUGAAGGAACUAGGCAAAAUGGUACCGUAACUUCGGGAGAAGGUACGCUCUUGAUGGUGAAGUCCCUCGCGGAUGGAGCUGACGAGAGUCGCAGAUACCAGGUGGCUGCAACUGUUUAUUAAAAACACAGCACUGUGCAAAAUCGCAAGAUGACGUAUACGGUGUGACGCCUGCCCGGUGCCGGAAGGUUAAUUGAUGGGGUUAGCGCAAGCGAAGCUCUUGAUCGAAGCCCCGGUAAACGGCGGCCGUAACUAUAACGGUCCUAAGGUAGCGAAAUUCCUUGUCGGGUAAGUUCCGACCUGCACGAAUGGCGUAAUGAUGGCCACGCUGUCUCCACCCGAGACUCAGUGAAAUUGAAAUCGCUGUGAAGAUGCAGUGUACCCGCGGCUAGACGGAAAGACCCCGUGAACCUUUACUACAGCUUGGCACUGAACAUUGAACCUACAUGUGUAGGAUAGGUGGGAGGCUAUGAAGACGUGACGCUAGUUGCGUUGGAGCCGUCCUUGAAAUACCACCCUUGUAUGUUUGAUGUUCUAACUUAGACCCGUUAUCCGGGUUGAGGACAGUGCCUGGUGGGUAGUUUGACUGGGGCGGUCUCCUCCCAAAGAGUAACGGAGGAGCACGAAGGUGGGCUAAUCACGGUUGGACAUCGUGAGGUUAGUGCAAUGGCAUAAGCCCGCUUAACUGCGAGAAUGACGGUUCGAGCAGGUGCGAAAGCAGGUCAUAGUGAUCCGGUGGUUCUGUAUGGAAGGGCCAUCGCUCAACGGAUAAAAGGUACUCCGGGGAUAACAGGCUGAUACCGCCCAAGAGUUCAUAUCGACGGCGGUGUUUGGCACCUCGAUGUCGGCUCAUCACAUCCUGGGGCUGAAGUCGGUCCCAAGGGUAUGGCUGUUCGCCAUUUAAAGUGGUACGCGAGCUGGGUUUAGAACGUCGUGAGACAGUUCGGUCCCUAUCUGCCGUGGGCGUUGGAAGAUUGAAGGGGGCUGCUCCUAGUACGAGAGGACCGGAGUGGACGAACCUCUGGUGUUCGGGUUGUGUCGCCAGACGCAUUGCCCGGUAGCUAAGUUCGGAAUCGAUAACCGCUGAAAGCAUCUAAGCGGGAAGCGAGCCCUGAGAUGAGUCUUCCCUGACAGUUUAACUGUCCUAAAGGGUUGUUCGAGACUAGAACGUUGAUAGGCAGGGUGUGUAAGCGUUGUGAGGCGUUGAGCUAACCUGUACUAAUUGCCCGUGAGGCUUAACCAUACAACACCCAAGGGGUUUUGUA
rnacentral:rRNA from 1 species